rnacentral:lncRNA from 1 species
AUCGAGCUAUGCGAUUAGAGGCAUCGGGACGGUCAGCUAGAGGACACAUGAUGGUGCAGUGAGGAGAUUGAUGGAGAUCCAAUACAUAUCUGAUUUUAGGUGGAAUCUUAUCUCUCUAAGCAGACUAGAUUCGAGAGGUUAUAUGAUGGUCGUUUGUAGAGAAAUUCUGAAGGUGUUGUGCGAUGAUAGGAUUAUUUUAGAGGAAAAAAAAAGGAUGAGAGGACAUUACUACCUAGUGAAGAGUUCAGUGUGAGGUAGAGCUUCAGGAGCUAAAAGGAGUCCAGUGCGAAGUGGAGCUCCGGG